rnacentral:rRNA from 1 species
GGAUUAGAUACCCUGGUAGUCCACGCCGUAAACGUUGGGCGCUAGGUGUGGGGCCCUUUCCACGGGCUCCGCGCCGCAGCUAACGCAUUAAGCGCCCCGCCUGGGGAGUACGGCCGCAAGGCUAAAACUCAAAGGAAUUGACGGGGCCCCGCACAAGCGGCGGAGCAUGCUGAUUAAUUCGAUGCAACGCGAAGAACCUUACCAAGGCUUGACAUAUACCGAAAACUGCUGGAGACAGCAGGUCCGCAAGGGCGGUAUACAGGUGGUGCAUGGUUGUCGUCAGCUCGUGCCG